rnacentral:lncRNA from 1 species
GAUCCAGGCUCCAGAAACAGAGGAAUUUCAGGCUUCAGGAUUUCAGAGGCCAAAUUCCAUCUGGCCUAGUCUGCCUGGCUCACGGAAGGAGGUGGAACAGCUGUGCGCACAUCUGCCAGAGGAGCUCUUUAAAGAGCAGAGAGGAUGCUAUUUUCCUACCAGCAGUAGCAGCAGCAGGGCAAG